rnacentral:rRNA from 1 species
UGAGGCGGAGCAAAACAACAAAACAACAGUCUCAGUUCAGAUUGUAGGCUGAAACUCGCCUAUAUGAAGUCGGAAUUGCUAGUAAUCGCGGAUCAGCAUGCCGCGGUGAAUACGUUCCCGGGCCUUGUACACACCGCCCGUCACACCAUGAGAGUCGAUAACACCCGAAGCCUGUAGUCUAACAGCAAUGAGGACGCAGUCGAAGGUGGGAUUGAUAAUUAGGGUGAAGUCGUAACAAGGUACC